CUUGGUCAUUUAGAGGAAGUAAAAGUCGUAACAAGGUUUCCGUAGGUGAACCUGCGGAAGGAUCAUUAUUGAAAUAAACCUGAUGGGUUGUUGCUGGUUCUCUAGGGAGCAUGUGCACGCCUUGUCAUCUUUAUAUCUCCACCUGUGCACCUUUUGUAGACCUUUCAGGUCUAUGUUGCUUCAUUUACCCCAUGUAUGUUAAUAGAAUGUUGUGCCUAUAUAAUAUAUACAACUUUCAGCAACGGAUCUCUUGGCUCUCGCAUCGAUGAGGAACGCAGCGAAAUGCGAUAAGUAAUGUGAAUUGCAGAAUUCAGUGAACCAUCGAAUCUUUGAACGCAUCUUGCGCUCCUUGGUAUUCCGAGGAGCAUGCCUGUUCGAGUGUCAUCAAAAGUUCUCAACCACACCGGUUCUUCUGGCGUGGCUUGGAUUUGGGGGUUUGCAGGCUUUGAACAGAAGUCGGCUCCCCUGAAAAGGAUUAGCAGUAUCUGAGCGGGAGACUACGUCGGGCGUGAUAAAUCAUCUAUGCCUCGGUGUACCCGAUGUGUGAGACUGCUUCUAACUGAGUGUUGACAAGUUUGACCUCGAAUCAGGUAGGACUACCCGCUGAACUUAAGCAUAUCAAUAAGCGGAGGA
rnacentral:rRNA from 1 species